rnacentral:rRNA from 1 species
CCUACGGGAGGCUGCAGUGGGGAAUAUUGCACAAUGGGGGAAACCCUGAUGCAGCGACGCCGCGUGAGUGAAGAAGUAUCUCGGUAUGGAAAGCUCUAUCAGUAGGGAAGAAAAUGACGGUACCUGAUUAAGAAGCCCCGGCUAACUACGUGCCAGCAGCCGCGGCAAUUCGUAGGGGGCAAGCGUUAUCCGGAUUUACUGGGUGUAAAGGGAGCGUAGACGGCAGCACAAGUCUGGAGUGAAAUGCCGGGGCUUAACCCCGGAACUGCUUUGGAAACUGUGCAGCUAGAGAGCAGGAGAGGUAAGUGGAAUUCCUAGUGUAGCGGUGAAAUGCGUAGAUAUUAGGAGGAACACCGGUGGCGAAGGCGGCUUACUGGACUGUAACUGACGUUGAGGCUCGAAAGCGUGGGGAGCAAACAGGAUUAGAUACCCUAGUAGUC